GAUGAACGCUGGCGGCGUGCCUAAUACAUGCAAGUCGAGCGAACAGACGAGGAGCUUGCUCCUCUGACGUUAGCGGCGGACGGGUGAGUAACACGUGGAUAACCUACCUAUAAGACUGGGAUAACUUCGGGAAACCGGAGCUAAUACCGGAUAAUAUAUUGAACCGCAUGGUUCAAUAGUGAAAGACGGUUUUGCUGUCACUUAUAGAUGGAUCCGCGCCGCAUUAGCUAGUUGGUAAGGUAACGGCUUACCAAGGCAACGAUGCGUAGCCGACCUGAGAGGGGGAUCGGCCACACUGGAAUGGGGACACGGCCCAGAUCCCAACGGGAGGAAGAAGUAGGGAAUCUCCCGCAUGGGGCGAAAGCUUGACGGAGCAACGCGGCGGAAGUGAUGAAGGUCUCCGGUCCGUAAACCCUUUUAUUAGGGAAGAACAAAUGUGUAAGUAACUAUGCACGUCUUGACGGUACCUAAUCAGAAAGCCACGGCUAACUACGUG
rnacentral:rRNA from 1 species